rfam:Methyloligella halotolerans strain VKM B-2706 A7A08_contig000002, whole genome shotgun sequence.
GCCGCUUUAGCUCAGUUGGUAGAGCACAUCAUUCGUAAUGAUGGGGUCGCGUGUUCGAGUCACGCAAGCGGCA